CGAACGGGUGAGUAACGCGUGAGGAACCUGCCUCAAAGAGGGGGGAAACAGUUGGAAACGACUGCUAAUACCGCAUAAGCCCACGGCUCGGCAUCGAGCAGAGGGAAAAGGAGCAAUCCGCUUUGAGAUGGCCUCGCGUCCGAUUAGCUAGUUGGUGAGGUAACGGCCCACCAAGGCGACGAUCGGUAGCCGGACUGAGAGGUUGAACGGCCACAUUGGGACUGAGACACGGCCCAG
rnacentral:rRNA from 1 species